UACGUAGGGUGCGAGCGUUGUCCGGAAUUACUGGGUGUAAAGGGAGCGUAGGCGGGGAUGCAAGUCAAGUGUUAAAUCUAUCGGCUCAACCGGUAGCUGCGCUUGAAACUGUGUCUCUUGAGUGAAGUAGAGGCAGGCGGAAUUCCUAGUGUAGCGGUGAAAUGCGUAGAUAUUAGGAGGAACACCAGUGGCGAAGGCGGCCUGCUGGGCUUUUACUGACGCUGAGGCUCGAAAGUGUGGGGAGCAAACAGG
rnacentral:rRNA from 1 species